GCCUGGGUGGCUCAGUCGGUUGAGCGUCUAACUUUGGCUCAGGUCAUGAUCUCAUGGUUCGUGGGUUCAAGCCCCAUGUCAGGCA
rnacentral:tRNA from 1 species